UUCUUUCAUCAGUUUGUUCCCUGUUUCUUCUCUAGCCUGAGCCUGACACACUAUUCUAGCUAGACAUGGGUGUGGCUCGUGACACCUGAUGACCAAAUGGAUCUACGGCACCGUCGAAUCUCAAACUUUAACUGCCAAAACUAUUGUUUUUCAUCCUGUAGUCCCUUUUAGAAUUACGAAACGUCCUUUUUUGGGCCAUGAUUUCCAGGAAUGCUUUCUCGGGGUUUGUGUGCACGUAUUUCAAACCAUACGGACCUAAAAAUUAGAAGUCAUUCCAUCUUUAUUCCCCUAGAGCCUUCCGGCAGUUCCUAAACUGCUCUAUUUGGAGCAUGUUAUCAUUCUUGUUAGUUCUGAGUGAAUUCCCUCGGUAUGAUCAUUCUUUCAUCAGUUUGUUCCCCGUUUCUUCUCUAGUCUGAGCCUAGCACACUAUUCUAGCUAUUAAUGGGUGUGGAUCGUAACACCUGAUGAGCAAACGGAUCUACGGCACCAUCGAAUCUCAAACUUUAACUGCCAAAACUAUUGUUUUUCAUUCUGUAGUCCCUUUUCGAAUUAUUAAACGUCCUUUUUUGGGCCGAGAUUUCCAGGAACGCUUUCUCGGGGUUUGUGUGCAUGUAUUUCAAAUCAUACGGACCUAAAAAUUAGAAGGCAUUCCAUCUUUAUUCCCCUAGAGACUUCCAGCAGUUCCUAAACCGCUCCAGUCGGAGCAUGUUAUCAUUCUUGUUAGUUCUGAGCGAAUUCCCUCGGUAUGAUCAUUCUAUCAUCUGUUUGUUCCCUGUUUCUUCGCUAGCCUAAGCCUGACACACUAUUCUAGGUAGACAUGGGUGUGGCUCGUGACACCUAAUGACCAAACGGAUCUACGGCACCCUCGAAUCUCAAACUUUAACUACCAAAACUAUUGUUUUUCAUUCUGUAGUCCCUUUUAGAUUACUAAACAUCCUUUUUUGGGCUGAGAUUUCCAGGAACGCUUUCUCGGGGUUUGUGUGCAUGUAUUUCAAACCAAACGUUCCUAAAAUUAGAAGUCAUUCCAUCUUAAUUCCCCUAGAGCCUUCUAGCAAUUCCUAAACAGCUCUAGUCGGAGCAUGUUAUCAUUCUUGUUAAUUCUGAGCGAAUUCCCUCCGUAUGAUCAUUCUUUCAUCAGUUUGUUCUCCGUUUCUGCUCUAGUCUGAGCCUAGCACACUAUUCUAGCUAUUAAUGGGUGUGGAUCGUAACACCUAAUGACCAAACGGAUCUACGACACCAUCGAAUCUCAAACUUUAACUGCCAAAACUAUUGUUUUUCAUCCUGUAGUCCCUUUUCGAAUUAUUAAACGUCCUUUUUUGGGCCGAGAUUUCCAGGAACGCUUUCUCGGGGUUUGUGUGGAUGUAUUUCAAAUCAUACGGACCUAAAAAUUAGAAGGCAUUCCAUCUUUAUUCCCCUAGAGCCUUCCAGCAGUUCCUANNNNNNNNNNNNNNNNNNNNNNNNNNNNNNNNNNNNNNNNNNNNNNNNNNNNNNNNNNNNNNNNNNNNNNNNNNNNNNNNNNNNNNNNNNNNNNNNNNNNNNNNUCGCUAGCCUAAGCCUGACACACUAUUCUAGCUACACAUGGGUGUGGCUCGUGACACCUAAUGACCAAACAGAUCUACGGCACCGUCGAAUCUCAAACUUUAACUACCAAAACUAUUGUUUUUCAUUCUGUAGUCCCUUUUAAAUUACUAAACGUCAUUUUUUGGGCCGAGAUUUCUAGGAACGCUUUCUCGGGGUUUGUGUGCAUGUAUUUCAAGUCAUAUGGACCUAAAAAUUAGAAUCCAUUCCAUCUUUAUUCCCCUAGAGCCUUCCAGCAGUUCCUAAACUGCUCCAGUCGGAGCACAUUAUCAUUAUUGUUAGUUCUGACUGAAUUCCCUCGGUAUGAUCAUUCUUUCAUCAGUUUGUUCCCCGUUUCUGCUCUACUCUGAGCUUAACACACUAUUCUAGCUAGGCAUGGGUGUGGCUCGUAACACCUGAUGACCAAACGGAUCUACGAUACCGUCGAAUCUCAAACUUUGACUACGAAAACUAUUGUUUUUCAUUCUAUAGUCCCUUUUAGAAUUACUAAACGUCCUUUUUUGGGCCGAGAUUUCCAGGAACGCUUUCUCGGGGUUUGUGUGCACGUAUUUCAAACAAUACGGACCUAAAAAUUAGAAUUCAUUCCAUCUUUAUUCCCCUAGAGCCUUCCAGCAGUUCCUAAACCGCUCUAGUCGGAGCACUUUAUCAUUCUUGUUAGUUCUCAGCGAAUUCCCUCGGUAUGAUCAUUCUUUCAUCAGUUUGUUCCCCAUUUCUUCUCUAGCCUGAGCCUAACACACUAUUCUAGCUACACAUGGGUGUGGCUCGUCACACCCGAUGACCAAACGGAUCUACGGCACCGUCGAAUCUCAAACUUUAACUGCCAAAACUAUUGUUUUUCAUCCUGUAGUCCCUUUUAGAAUUACUAAACGUCCUUUUUUGGGUAGAUAUUUCUAGGAACGCUUUAUCGGGGUUUGUGUGCACGUAUUUCAGACCAUACGGACCUAAAAAUUAGAAGUCAUUCCAUCUUUAUUCCCCUAUAGCCUUCCAGCAGUUCCUAAACCGCUCCAGUCGGAGCCCGUUAUCAUUCUUGUUAGUUUUGAGCGAAUUCCCUCGGUAUGAUCAUUCUUUCAUCAGUUUGUUCCCCGUUUCUUCUCUAGUCUAAGCCUAGCACACUAGUUUAGCUAGACAUGGGUGUGGCUCGUAACACCUGAUGGCCAAACGGAUCUACGGCACCGUGAAAUCUCAAACUUUAACUGCCAAAACUAUUGUUUUUCAUCCUGUAGUCCCUUUUAGAAUUACUAAACGUCCUUUUUUGGGCUGAGAUUUCCAGGAACACUUUCUCGGGGUUUGUGUGCAUGUAUUUCAAACCAUAUGGACCUAAAAAUUAGAAGUCAUUCCAUCUUUAUUCCCCUAGAGCCUUCCAACAGUCCCUAAACCGCUCCAGUCCGAGCAUGUUAUCAUUCUUGUUAGUUCUGAGUGAAUUCCCUCGGUAUGAUCAUUCUUUCAUCAGUUUGUUCCCCAUUUCUUCUCUAGUCUGAGCCUAGCUCACUAUUCUAGCUAGACAUGGGUGUGGCUCAUAAUACCUGAUGACCAAACGGAUCUACGGCACCAUCGAAUCUCAAACUUUAACUGCCAAAACAAUUGUUUUUCAUCCUGUAGUCCCUUUUAGAAUUACUAAACGUCCUUUUUUGGGCCGAGAUUUCCAGGAACGCUUUCUCGGGGUUUGUGUGCACGUAUUUCAAACCAAGCGUUCUUAAAAAUUAGAAGUCAUUCCAUCUUUAUUCCCCUAGAGCCUUACAGCAGUUCCUAAACUGCUCCAGUCGGCGCACGUUAUCAUUCUUGUUAGUUCUGAGCGAAUUCCCUCGGUAUGAUCAUUCUUUCAUCAGUUUGUUCCCCGUUUCUUCUCUAGUUUGAGCCUAGCACACUAUUCUAGCUAGACAUGGGUGUGGGUCAUAACACCUGAUGACCAAACAGAUCGACGACACCAUCGAAUCUCAAACUUUAACUGCCAAAACUAUUGUUUUUCAUCCUGUAGUCCCUUUUAGAAUUACUAAACGUCCUUUUUUGGGUCGAGAUUUCCAAGAAAGCUUUCUCGGGCUUUGUGUGCACGUAUUUCAAACCAAAAAUUUCUAAAAAUUAGAAGUCAUUCCAUCUUUAUUCCCCUAGAGCCUUCCAGCAGUUCCUAAACAGCUCCAGUCGGAGCACGUUAUCAUUCUUGUUAGUUCUGAGCGAAUUCCCUCGGUAUGAUCAUUCUUUCAUCAGUUUGUUCCCCGUUUCUUCUAUAGUCUGAGCCUAUCACACUAUUCUAGCUAGACAUGGGUGUGGCUCGUAACACCUGAUGACCAAACGGAUCUACGGCACCAUCGAAUCUAAAACUUUAACUGCCAAAACUAUUGUUUUUCAUCCUGUAGUCCCUUUAGAACUACUAAAUGUCCUUUUUUGGGCCAAGAUUUCCAGGAACGCUUUCUCGGGGUUUGUGUGCAUGUAUUUCAAACCAUACGGACCUAAAAAUUAGGUCAUUCCAUCUUUAUUCCCCUAGAGCCUUCCAGCAGUUCCUAAACCGCUCCAGUCGGAGCAUGUUAUCAUUCUUGUUUGUUCUGAGUGAAUUCCCUCAGUAUGAUCAUUCUUUCAUCAUUUUGUUCCCCGUUUCUUCUCUAGUCUGAGCCUAGCACACUAUUCUAGCUAGACAUGGGUGUGGCUCGUAACACCUGACCAAACGGAUCUACGGCACCGUCGAAUCUCAAACUUUAACUGCCAAAACUAUUGUUUUUCAUCCUGUAGUCCCUUUUAAAUUUAAUAAACGUCCUUUUUUGGGCUGAGAUUUCCAGGAACGCUUUCGUGCGGUUUGUGUGCAAGUAUUUCAAAUCAUACAGACCUAUAAAUUAGAAGUCAUUUCAUCUUUAUUCCCCUAGAGCCUUCGAGCGGUUCCUAAACCGCUCAAGUCGGAGCAUGUUAUCAUUCUUGUUAGUUCUGAGUGAAUUCCCUCGGUAUGAUCAUUCUUUCAUCAGUUUGUUCCCCGUUCCUUCUCUAGUCUGAGCCUAGCACACUACUCUAGCUAGACAUGGGUUUGGCUCGUAACACCUGAUAACCAAACGGGUCUACGACACCAUCGAAUCUCAAACUUUUUUGGGCCAAGAUUUGCAGGAACGCUUUCUCGGGGUUUGUGUGCACGUAUUUCAAAUCAUGCGGACCUAAAAAUUAGAAGUCAUUCCAUAUUUGUUCCCCUAGAGCCUUCCAGCAGUUCCUAAACCGCUCCAGUUGGACCACGUUAUCAUUCUUGUUAGUUCUGAGUGAAUUACCUCGGUAUGAUCAUUCUUUCAUAAGUUUGUUCCCCGUUUCUUCUAUAGUCUGAGCCUAGCACACUACUCUAGCUAGACAUGGGAGUGGCUCGUAACACCUGAUGACCAAACAGAUCUAUGGCACCGUCGAAUCUCAAACUUUAACUGCCAAAACUAUUGUUUUUCAUCCUGUAGUCCCUUUUAGAAUUACUAAACGUCAUUUUUUGGGCUGAGAUUUCCAGGAACGCUUUCGCGGGGUUUGUGUGCACGUAUUUCAAACCAUAGGGACCUAAAAAUUAGAAGUCAUUCCAUCUUUAUUCCCCUAGAGCCUAACACACUAUUCUAGCUAGACAUGGGUGUGGCUCGUAACACCUGAUGACAAAACGGAUCUACGGCACCAUCGAAUCUCAAACUUUAACUGCCAAAAUUAUUGUAUUUCAUCCUGUAGUCCCUUUUAGAAUUAUUAAACGUCCUUUUUUUGGGCUGUGAUUUCCAUGAACGCUUUCUCGGGGUUUCUGUGCACGUAUUUCAAAUCAUACGGACCUAAAAAUUAGAAGUCAUUCCAUCUUUAUUCCCCUAGAGCCUUCCAACAGUUCCUAAACCGCUCCAGUCGGAGCACAUUAUCAUUCUUGUUAGUUCUGAGUGAAUUCCCAUGGUAUGAUCAUUCUUUCAUUAGUUUGUUCCCCGUUUCUUCUCUAGUCUGAGCCUACCACACUAUUCUAGCUAGACAUGGGUGUGGCUCAUAACACCUUAUGACCAAACGGAUCUACGGCACCAUCGAAUCUCAAACUUUAACCGCCAAAACUAUUGUUUUUCAUCAUGUAGUCCCUUUUAGAAUUACUAAACGUCCUUCUUUGGGCAGAGAUUUCCAGGAAUGCUUUAUCGGGGUUUGUGUGCACGUAUUUCAGACCAUACGGACCUAAAAAUUAGAAGUCAUUCCAUCUUUAUUCCCCUAGAGCCUUCCAAUAGUUCCUGAACCGCUCCAGUCGGAGCAUGUUAUCAUUCUUGUUAGUUCUGAGCGAAUUCCCUCGGUAUGAUCAUUCUUUCAUCAGUUUGUUUCCCGUUUCUUCUCUAGUCUGAGCCUAGCACACUACUCUAGCUAGACAUUGGUGUGGCUCGUAACACCUGAUGACCAAACGGAUCUACGGCACUGUCAAAUCUCAAACUUUAACUGCCAAAACUAUUGUUUUUCAUCCUGUAGUCCCUUUUAGAAUUACUAAACGUCCUUUUUUGGGCCGAUAUUUCCAGGAACGCUUUCUUGGGGUUUGUGUGCAUGUAUUUCAAACCAUAUGGAACUAAAAAUUACAAGUCAUUCCAUCUUUAUUCCCCUAGAGCCUUCCAGCAGUUCCUAAACCGCUCCAAUCGGAGCAUGUUAUCAUUCUUGUUAAUUCUGAGUGAAUUCCCUUGGUAUGAUCAUUCUUUCAUCAGUUUGUUCCCGAUUUCUUCUCCAGUCUGAGCCUAGCUCACUAUUCUAGCUAGACAUGGGUGUGGCUCAUAAUACCUGAUGACCAAACGGAUCUACGACACCAUCGAAUCUCAAACUUUAACUGCCAAAACUAUUGUUUUUCAUCUUGUAGUCCCUUUUAGAAUUACUAAACGUCCUUUUGUGGGCUGAGAUUUCCAGGAACGCUUUAUCGGGGUUUGUGUGCUCGUAUUUCAGACCAUACGGACCUAAAAAUUAGAACUCAUUCCAUCUUUAUUCCCCUAGAGCCUUCCAGCAGCUCCUAAACCGCUCCAGUCGAGCACGUUAUCAUUCUUGUUAGUUCUGAGCAAAUUCCCUCGUUAUGAUCAUUCUUUCAUCAGUUUGUUCCCCGUUUCUUCUCUGGUCUGAGCCUAGCACACUAUUCUAGCUAUUAAUGGGUGUGGAUCGUAACACUUGAUGAUCAAACAGAUCUACGGCACCAUCGAUUCUCAAACUUUAACUGCCAAAACUAUUGUUUUUCAUCCUGUAGUCCCUUUUAGAAUUAUUAAACGUCCUUUUUUGGGCCGAGAUUUCUAGGAACGCUGUCUCGGGGUUUGUGUGCACGUAUUUCUAAUCAUACGGACCUAAAAAUUAGAAGUCAUUCCAUAUUUAUUCCCCUAGAGCCUUCCAGCAGUUCCUAAACCGCUCAAGUCGGAGCACGUUAUCAUUCUUGUUAGUUCUUAGCGAAUUCCCUCGAUAUGAUCAUUCUUUCAUCAGUUUGUUCCCCGUUUCUUCUCUAGCCUGAGCCCGACACACUAUUCUAGCUAGACAUGGGUGUGGCUCGUAACACCUAAUGACCAAACGGAUCUACGGCACCGUUGAAUCUCAAACUUUAACAGCCAAAAUUAUUGUUUUUCAUUAUGUAGUCUCUUUUAAAUUACUAAACGUCAUUUUUUGAGCUGAGAUAUCCAGGAACGCUUUCUCGGGGUUUUUGUGCACGUAUUUCAAAUCAUACGGACCUGAAAAUUAGAAGUCAUUCCAUCUUUAUUCCCCUAGAGCCUUCCAGCAGUUCCUAAACCGCUCCAGUUGGACCACGUUAUCAUUCUUGUUAGUUCUGAGUGAAUUACCUUAGUAUGAUCAUUCUUUCAUCAGUUUGUUCCCUGUUUCUUCUAUAGUCUGAGCCUAGCACACUACUCUAGCUAGACAUGGGUGUGGCUCGUAACACCUGAUGACCAAACAGAUCUACGGCACCGUCGAAUCUCAAACUUUAACUGCCAAAACUAUUGUUUUUCAUCCUGUAGACCCUUUUAGAAUUACUAAACGUCCUUUUUUGGGCUGAGAUUUCCGGGAACGCUUUCACGGGGUUUGUGUGCACGUAUUUUAAACCAUAUGGACCUAAAAAUUAGAAGUCAUUCCAUCUUUAUUCCCAUAGAGCCUAACACACUAUUCUAGCUAGAUAUGGGUGUGGCUCGUAACACCUGAUGACCAAACGGAUCUACGGCACCAUCGAAUCUCAAACUUUAACUGCCAAAACUAUUGUAUUUCAUCAUGUAGUCCCUUUUAGAAUUAUUAAACGUCCUUUUUUAGGGCCGUGAUUUCCAUGAACGCUUUCUUGGGGUUUCUGUGCAUGUAUUUCAAAUCAUACGGACCUAAAAAUUAGAAGUCAUUCCAUCUUUAUUCCCCUAGAGCCUUCCAGCAGUUCCUAAACCGCUUCAGUCGGAGCACGUUAUCAUUCUUGUUAGUUCUGAGUGAAUUCCCUUGGUAUGAUCAUUCUUUCAUCAGUUUGUUCCCCGUUUCUUCUCUAGUCUGAGCCUAGCACACUAUUCUAGCUAGACAUGGGUGUGGCUCAUAACACCUCAUGACCAAACGGAUCUACGGCACCAUCGAAUCUCAAACUUUAACUGCCAAAACUAUUGUUUUUCAUCCUGUAGUCCCUUUUAGAAUUACUAAACGUCCUUUUUUGGGCAGAUAUUUCCAGGAACGCUUUAUCGGGGUUUGUGUGCUCGUAUUUCAGACCAUACGGACCUAAAAAUUAGAACUCAUUCCAUCUUUAUUCCCCUAUAGCCUUCCAGCAAUUCCGAAACCACUCUAUUCGGAGCACGUUAUCAUUCUUGUUAGUUCUAAAAGAAUUCCCUCGGUAUGAUCAUUCUUUCAUCAGUUUAUUUCCCGUUUCUUCUCUAGUCUAAGCCUAGCACACUAGUCUAGCUAGACAUGGGUGUGGCUCGUAACACCUGAUGACCAAACGGAUCUACGGCACCGUCAAAUCUCAAACUUUAACUGCCAAAACUAUUGUUUUUCAUCCUGUAGUCCCUUUAGAAUUACAAAAGGUCCUUUUUUGGGCCGAGAUUUCCAGGAACACUUUCUCGGGGGUUUGUGUGCAUGUAUUUCAAACCAUAUGGACCUAAAAAUUAGAAGUCAUUCCAUCUUUAUUCCCCUAGAGCCUUCCAGCAGUUCCUAAACCGCUCCAGUCGGAGCAUGUUAUCAUUCUUGUUAGUUCUGAGUGAAUUCCCUCGGUAUGAUCAUUCUUUCAUCAGUUUGUUCCCCAUUUCUUCUCUAGUCUGAGCCUAGCUCACUAUUCUAGCUAGACAUGGGUGUGGCUCGUAAUACCUGAUGACCAAAUGGAUCUACGGCACCAUCGAAUCUCAAACUUUUACUGCCAAAACUAUUGUUUUUCAUCCUGUAGUCCCUUUUAGAAUUACUAAACGUCCUUUUUUGGGCUGAGAUUUCCAGGAACGCUUUCUUGGGGUUUGUGUGCACGUAUUUCAAACCAAGCGUUCCUAAAAAUUAGAAGUCAUUCCAUCUUUAUUCCCCUAGAGCCUUACAGCAGUUCCUAAACUGCUCCAGUCGGCGCACGUUAUCAUUCUUGUUAGUUCUGAGUGAAUUCCCUCGGUAUGAUCAUUCUUUCAUCAGUUUGUUCCCCGUUUCUUCUCUAGUCUGAGCCUACCACACUAUUCUAGCUAGACAUGGGUGUGGCUCAUAACACCUUAUGACCAAACGGAUCUACGGCACCAUCGAAUCUCAAACUUUAACUGCCAAAACUAUUGUUUUUCAUCCUGUAGUCCCUUUUAGAAUUACUAAACGUCCUUUUUUGGGCAGAUAUUUCCAGGAAUGCUUUAUCGGGGUUUGUGUGCACGUAUUUCAGACCAUACGGACCUAAAAAUUAGAAGUCAUUCCAUCUUUAUUCCCCUAUAGCCUUCCACCAGUUCCUAAACCACUCCAGUCGGAGCACGUUAUCAUUCUUGUUAGUUCUGAGCGAAUUCCCUCGGUAUGAUCAUUCUUUCAUCAGUUUAUUCCCCGUUUCUUCUCUAGUCUAAGCCUAGCACACUAGUCUAGCUAGACAUGGGUGUGGCUCGUAACACCUGAUGACCAAACGGAUCUACGGCACCGUCAAAUCUCAAACUUUAACUGCCAAAACUAUUGUUUUUCAUCCUGUAGUCCCUUUUAGAAUAACUAAACGUCCUUUUUUGGGCCGAGAUUUCCGGGAACACUUUCUCGGGGUUUGUGUGCAUGUAUUUCA
rnacentral:lncRNA from 1 species